rnacentral:rRNA from 1 species
CGUGUAGGCGGUUGGUCAAGUCGGGUGUGAAAGCCUGGGGCUCAGCCCCAGAAGUGCAUCCGAAACUAGCCAGCUGGAGCGCGAUAGAGGAGGGUGGAAUUCCUGGUGUAGCGGUGAAAUGCGUAGAUAUCAGGAAGAACACCGGCGGCGAAGGCGGCCCUCUGGAUCGUUGCUGACGCUGAGACGCGAAAGCGUGGGGAGCAAACAGGAUUAGAUACCCUGGUAGUCCACGCCUUAAACGAUGGGUACUAGGUGUUCGGGGUGUUGACCCCCUGAGUGCCGCAGUUAACGCAUUAAGUACCCCGCCUGGGGACUACGGCCGCAAGGUUAA